rnacentral:lncRNA from 1 species
CAACUUUUGAAAUUUCCUGGACUUUAGAGGAAAUGCAAGAUGUGCCUUUUAGCUCCUUCUCCUGCUACUCUCCAUAAAACCUAUGGACUUUACAUUAAAAUAAUAAUGCCAUUUUUGCACCUAAUAAGUUAAUGAUAAUUCCUUGACAUUAUAUGAUUCAAUUCUAAUUCCAAUUGCUUUAAAACUUUUUUCUUCUCAUUUUGUUUGUUAAAACCAACUUAUGACUGAGCAAAAUGGUAGAGCAUAUCCCUGCUGCUCCAGGAGAUGAAGCACCGGCGUUGGCAAAACUUCAGUCAUCACAUCUAGCAGACAUUGUACAAAACACGUUGUACAUGCUUGAAUUCUAGAAUUCAUCAGUUCAAAGAAAAACUGGCAAGACCCACCAGAGAUUUGGUUUUUGUUGUUGUUUGUUUAUUUUUGUUGAAUUAUCUACCAAUACUAUGAUUUUAUUUUUUCAGAAGGUCACUUUUCUACCCAAAGUUGGAAAAAUGCCAUUUUACAAUGACAGGUUCUCUC